AUUGAACGCUGGCGGCAGGCUUAACACAUGCAAGUCGAGCGAGCGGCGGACGGGUGAGUAAUGUCUGGGAAACUGCCUGAUGGAGGGGGCUAACUACUGGAAACGGUAGCUAAUACCGCAUACCAUCAGAUGUGCCCAUAUGGGAUUAGCUAGUAGGUGGGGGAAUGGCUCACCUAGGCGACGAUACCUAGCGGGUCUGAGAGGAUGCCCAGCCACACGUGAACUGAGACACGGUCCAGACUCCUACGGGUGGCAGCAGUGGGUAAUAUUGCACAAUGGGCGCAAGCCUGAUGCCGCCAGGCCGCGUGUGUGAAGAAGGCCUUCGGGUUGUAAAGCACUGUCAGCGAGGAGGCGUUACUCGCAGAAGAAGCACCGGCUAACUCCGUGCCAGCAGCCGCGGUAAUAC
rnacentral:rRNA from 1 species